AUAUUGUUCUAUGGGGGGAACCCUGAACCAGCGACACCGCGUGAGUGAUGAAGGUUUUCGGAUCGUAAAACUCUGUUGUUAGGGCAGAACAAGUACCGUAGUCACUGCCGUUACCUUGACGGUACCUGACGAGAAAGCCACGGCUAACUACGUGCCAGCAGCCGCGGUAAUACGUAGGUGGCAAGCGUUGUCCGGAAUUAUUGGGCGUAAAGCGCGCGCAGGAGGUCCUUUAAGUCUGAUGUGAAAGCCCACGGCUCAACCGUGGAGGGUCAUUGGAAACUGGGGGACUUGAGUGCAGAAGAGGAAAGUGGAAUUCCAAGUGUAGCGGUGAAAUGCGUAGAGAUUUGGAGGAACACCAGUGGCGAAGGCGACUUUCUGGUCUGUAACUGACGCUGAGGCGCGAAAGCGUGGGGAGCAAACA
rnacentral:rRNA from 1 species